GACGAACGCUGGCGGCGUGCCUAAUACAUGCAAGUAGAACGCUGAAGGAGGAGCUUGCUCUUCUGGAUGAGUUGCGAACGGGUGAGUAACGCGUAGGUAACCUGCCUGGUAGCGGGGGAUAACUAUUGGAAACGAUAGCUAAUACCGCAUAACAGUAGAUGUUGCAUGACAUUUGCUUAAAAGGUGCAAUUGCACCACUACCAGAUGGACCUGCGUUGUAUUAGCUAGUUGGUGGGGUAACGGCUCACCACGGCGACGUUACAUCGCCGACCUGAGAGGGUGAUGGGCCACACUGGGACGGGGACACGGCCCAGACUCCUACGGGGGGCAGCAGGAGGGGAUUUUCGGCAAUGGACGGAAGUCUGACCGAGCAACGCCGCGGGAGUGAAGAAGGUUUUCGGAUCGUAAAGCUCUGUUGUAAGGGAAGAACGAGGGUGGGAGUGGAAAGUUCACACUGUGACGGUAUCUUACCAGAAAGGGACGGCUAACUACGUG
rnacentral:rRNA from 1 species